rnacentral:RNase_P_RNA from 1 species
GGUUUUGGGUAAUCGAGCGUAGCUUAUGUUACGUUAGGAAGGUCCAUGCUCGCACGGGCUGCGAUGCCCGUAGUGUUUGUGCUCGCUGAAAAAAUAAGGCGGGGCAUCAAGUGAUUGAUGACGGCGGAAAAACAGACUACGGUUUUUUACUAUGUCUUAGUAUUCCUGAAAAGUGCCACAGUGACGAAGCAGGUUGGGAAACCAAACUGGUGGAACGCGGUAAACCCCUCAAGCGGUAAACCCAAACAUACGGUAGGGGAGCUUUGGAUAGCAAAUUGAAGUGAUUCCAGGGGAGUAGUUUUACUACUGAGAUAGAUGAUUACCACGGUUUAAGCUGGCCUGAGGCUUAAGCUUCGACAAAACAUGGCCUACAGAA